rnacentral:sRNA from 1 species
CGUCCAUGAUCUGCGGGCAGAUCAAAUGGACGUGGCAGUCGAUGGCCCCGGCGGUGACGAUGCGGCCGUUACCGGCGAUGAUCUCCGUCGACGGACCGACCACCAGGUCGGGGUGUACGCCCGACAUGAUCUCGGGGUUGCCGGCCUUGCCGAUGGCGACGAUGCGGCCGUCGCGAAUGCCGAUGUCCGCCUUGAUGAUUCCCCAAUAAUCGAUGAUCACCGCGCCGGUGAUCACGGUGUCGGGUGCGCCGUCGGCGCGGGUCGCGCGGCUCUGGCCCAUCGACUCGCGCAG